UACGAAGGGGGCUAGCGUUACUCGGAUUGACUGGGCGUAAAGGGUCCGUAGGCGGUUUUGUAAGUCAGUGGUGAAAGCCCAUCGCUCAACGGUGGAACGGCCAUUGAUACUGCAAGACUUGAAUUAUUGGGAAGUAACUAGAAUAUGUAGUGUAGCGGUGAAAUGCUUAGAGAUUACAUGGAAUACCAAUUGCGAAGGCAGGUUACUACCAAUAUAUUGACGCUGAUGGACGAAAGCGUGGGGAGCGAACAGG
rnacentral:rRNA from 1 species